rnacentral:rRNA from 1 species
GCGCGGGGGCAACCCUGGCGGCGAGCGGCGAACGGGUGAGUAAUGCAUCGGAACGUGUCCUCUUGUGGGGGAUAACCAGUCGAAAGACUGGCUAAUACCGCAUGAGAUCGAAAGAUGAAAGCAGGGGACCCGCAAGGGCCUUGCGCGAGAGGAGCGGCCGAUGCCCGAUUAGCUAGUUGGUGGGGUAAUAGCCCACCAAGGCGACGAUCGGUAGCUGGUCUGAGAGGACGACCAGCCACACUGGGACUGAGACACGGCCCAGACUCCUACGGGAGGCAGCAGUGGGGAAUUUUGGACAAUGGGGGCAACCCUGAUCCAGCCAUGCCGCGUGUGUGAAGAAGGCCUUCGGGUUGUAAAGCACUUUCGGCCGGAACGAAAUCGCGCGGAUUAACACUCCGCGUGGAUGACGGUACCGGAAGAAGAAGCACCGGCUAACUACGUGCCAGCAGCCGCGGUAAUACGUAGGGUGCGAGCGUUAAUCGGAAUUACUGGGCGUAAAGUGUGCGCAGGUGGCCGCGCAAGUCGAGUGUGAAAUCCCCGGGCUUAACUUGGGAAUUGCGCUCGAAACUACGUGGCUGGGGUGUGGCAGAGGAAGGUGGAAUUCCACGUGUAGCGGUGAAAUGCGUAGAGAUGUGGAGGAACACCGAUGGCGAAGGCAGCCUUCUGGGCCAACACUGACACUCAUGCACGAAAGCGUGGGGAGCAAACAGGAUUAGAUACCCU